rnacentral:lncRNA from 1 species
AAUCUGUUAAUGAAACCCCUUGUGAUGGGUUACAGCAGCAGCUGUUGCAACACCCCUCCCCCUUGUCCUACACAGGGAGGUUUCUGGUUUGAGGUUGCCCUGUGGUGGCCUCAAACUUUCUGGGAGAAUUCUAGAUUAGCUCUCAGCUUGUUGUGUGUGGUUUUGGAUGUAUAUUAUAAGCGGCUGUUGGCAUCUAUGAUGAACAGGCUACACAACAAAUUCAAGACCAGAAGACAAAAAGGCAGUGGAUGUAGUCAUUCUCUGGAAAAAUUAAGACACCGAUGUCUUUGAGUUAACAGCUUUUUCCCUGUGCUGUAGUUACUGUGAAAAAUCUCCAAAUAAGAGUGUUCU